AUUGAACGCUGGCGGCAUGCUUUACACAUGCAAGUCGAACGGCAGCGCGGGCUUCGGCCUGGCGGCGAGUGGCGAACGGGUGAGUAAUACAUCGGAACGUGCCCAGUAGUGGGGGAUAGCUCGGCGAAAGCCGGAUUAAUACCGCAUACGACCUGAGGGUGAAAGCGGGGGAUCUUCGGACCCCGCCCUUUUGGAGGGGCCGAUGGCAGAUUAGCUAGUUGGUGGGGUAAAGGCCUACCAAGGCGACGAUCUGUAGCUGGUCUGAGAGGACGACCAGCCACACUGGGACUGAGACACGGCCCAGACUCCUACGGGAGGCAGCAGUGGGGAAUUUUGGACAAUGGGCGAAAGCCUGAUCCAGCAAUGCCGCGUGUGUGAUGAAGGCCUUCGGGUUGUAAAGCACUUUUGGCGGGAACGAAAAGGACUGUGCCAAUACCACGGUUCGAUGACGGUACCCGCAGAAUAAGCACCGGCUAACUACGU
rnacentral:rRNA from 1 species